CCUGGUGGCUCAGAUGGUAAAGAAUCUGCCUGCAAUGCAGAAGACCUGGGUUCAAUCCCUGGGUCAGGA
rnacentral:tRNA from 1 species